GCAUAGCUGGCUCAGUUGGUAGAGCAUGUGACUCUUAAUCUUGGGGUUGUGAGUUCCAGCCCCAUGUUGGGUG
rnacentral:tRNA from 1 species